UACGUAGGGCGCAAGCGUUGUCCGGAAUUAUUGGGCGUAAAGAGCUCGUAGGCGGUUUGUCGCGUCUGUCGUGAAAGCUUGGGGCUUAACCCUAAGUCUGCGGUGGAUACGGGCAGACUAGAGGCAGGUAGGGGAGAACGGAAUUCCCGGUGUAGCGGUGAAAUGCGCAGAUAUCGGGAGGAACACCGGUGGCGAAGGCGGGUCUCUGGGCAGUAACUGACGCUGAGGAGCGAAAGCGUGGGGAGCGAACAGG
rnacentral:rRNA from 1 species